rnacentral:rRNA from 1 species
GUACGGGAGGCAGCAGUGGGGAAUAUUGCGCAAUGGGCGAAAGCCUGACGCAGCAACGCCGCGUGGGUGAUGAAGGCCUUCGGGUCGUAAAGCCCUGUCAGAGGGGAAGAAACCUCCCUGCAAGGGGAGCUGACGGUACCCUCGGAGGAAGCACCGGCUAACUCCGUGCCAGCAGCCGCGGUAAUACGGAGGGUGCAAGCGUUGUUCGGAAUCACUGGGCGUAAAGGGCGCGUAGGCGGCUUGGGAAGUCCGAUGUGAAAGCCCGGGGCUCAACCCCGGAAGUGCAUUGGAAACUCCCCGGCUUGAGUUCGGGAGAGGAAGGCAGAAUUCCCGGUGUAGGGUUGAAAUCCGUAGAUAUCGGGAGGAAAACCGGUGGCGAAGGCGGCCUUCUGGAACGAAACUGACGCUGAGGCGCGAAAGCGUGGGGAGCAAACAGGAUUAGAUACCCGAGUAA